GUUGCUUCUUACUCAUGAACUCCUUCAUAGUGAAGGAUGAGUCAUACUUUUAUUGGAAGCAUAGAUUAAUAUAAUACCAGUAUUAAACAGCAUGGUGUUUUCAUUUAUGUUGCACUAUGUUACCUGUCUUCUGGGACAUAU